AGAACUUUCAGCAGUCAAUGGUUGCA
rnacentral:piRNA from 1 species